GCGUCACAAAGCGUAUAAGGCCCCUGACCAAAGAACAAAGCUUCUUAAUCUAACAAAGCACAAUACAGAAGCAGCAGAUUCAAGACCGAUGUAUUUCCAUCAAAGGAUGAAGUUAAAGGUGUACCGUACCUCUCGCCCAAAGUCAGCUGGGAUAAGCUCUGGCACAACUGCAACUAGAAGAAGUAUAAGUGUAACCAGGGACACUUUUCUGUGUGCCUUUGACCCCCCAACGAGGUUUGAGCCCAGAACACAGCAGUGUCUUACAUUGGGAGCCAAAAGUGAUGGCCUAAAAGCCCGGACUGCCAGCUGGGCCGGGCUCAGCCAGGGAGGCAGAAAUGCGGACAUCGUGACCAAGCAGAUAGAGUGUGGUUAUAAGAUCACUCCACUGGACUAACUCGCCCAGUGGGCCACCACUGAAGGCAUUUUCUGCUAUUUUAAAGCCCGACUCCUUGGUCAGCAGACCCAAGUGCACCAGGACCUGACAUGAGAGAAAGAAAAAUCUAAUAAGUAACACAUGACAAAAGGUUCUGCUUGGCAGCCAACGAUCGAAUAGCACUGACCCAUGGCUCAGCCAUGCGCUUGAUCCUCAGCAUCAUCCAGCGGAACUCUUCCCUCUGAGACAUGACACGCAAGGGUACCUAUGAAAGGAUCCUGUUUGUGGACUUCAGCUCUGCGUUUAACACAGUCAUCCUGGAACUCUUCUCUUCAAAAUUUCUCCAGUUCAGUGUCUCGCUUGCCAUUUCCUGGUGGAUCUAUAACUUCCUGACGUGCAGGACACAGCAGGUGAGGCUGGGGACACCACCUCAUUCACGCGCACUAUCAGCCCCAGGGCACCCCAAGGUAGUGUCCUCUCCCCUCUGCUCUUCUCGCU